rnacentral:rRNA from 1 species
UACAGAGGUCUCAAGCGUUGUUCGGAUUCAUUGGGCGUAAAGGGUGCGUAGGUGGCGCGCUAAGUCAGGUGUGAAAUCUCGGGGCUUAACUCCGAAACUGCAUUUGAUACUGGCGUGCUUGAGGACUGGAGAGGAGACUGGAAUUCAUGGUGUAGCAGUGAAAUGCGUAGAGAUCAUGAGGAAGACCAGUGGCGAAGGCGGGUCUCUGGACAGUUCCUGAUACUGAGGCACGAAGGCCAGGGGAGCAAACGGG